AUGUGCAGUAGGAAACAGUGUCACAUACUCACAUCCUGACUCCUCCUGGGUUAGCCUGGAACUGGAGGACUCUUACAAUGCUGGAGAAAAUUUUCACUGCUGGGCUUUUCUCAGGAGAUGGAUUGCUUAUUUCAGCUUCUUGAUUCAUUCAGAAUUAUGGUGAUUUUGUCCUACUCGUCCAAAGUUCUCCUAUGUAAGAACUUCAUUCAAAACCAGUUUGCUUUCUUCUUUUUCACUAGGGUGCAAGAAUUAGAAGAACGUGCAGGUGCAAACUUUUGCUAAACCGAAAUCACAGGAAAAUGAUGGUGAUGGUUUCCUGAAAUCCAGAUCAGGUCUCUUUGGGAAAGACCACAGUCAAGUCCACCUACAGCACCCUGACUUGCAUCCUGCUGAGCACAGUGUGCAGCAGCUGGAGUCACUGGAGUCAGUGUCAGAGGAUCUUCAUCUGCCUCCAGAGGUCCAAGCUCCUGCCAGUGCCUGGAGAGGCUCAGCUCAGCUGCACUCAGCUGAAGGAUCAGGCACCACUUUCCAAAAGAGGGCAAUGUCAGGAAGACUCCUUGUGCCAACCAGCCUUUAAUCUACUGGGUGAGCUGUCUGUUGGGAAGAGGAUAAGGUAUGAGUUUGAAAACUUCUGGCUAGGGGACAGGAUGUGUACCCAGGUAAGUGAACAAGGCAGCUUCUGGGAAAAAAAACCAAAAAAACCCAAUCCAAAAAAAAAAUACACUAUCUCUUUCCUUUCAUCCUUCCCCCUUUUCUCUUUUGUUUCAGCCAAAAACUACAGUACAUGCUACCAAGUUCAGAUAUAUGGUCAGAGCAUUGCCUAUUAAGUAGCCAUCAGAAGGGACAGAACCCAGCUCAUGAAAAUAUUAACAUCUUAGGUGGCGUUAGGAAAAAGAGACACACACACAGAACCCAAGAAACCAGGAGAUCUUCUGAACAAAUAUAAGAUUUUUGAUAGCCAGGUAGCUAUUUCUGCAGUGAAAUUAAUCCAGGACAGGGAGCAUAAGAUCAGUGGAAAUAAUAUAUAUCUAUAUAUCUAGAUAAUAUGUAAUAAUCAGGAACUGAGGGACAGCAGAGAUGAGGCUUAUUGUGUCAGCAAGCCCUAUGCGACAGUCCCAACAUCUGGGCCUCUGCUCUUCUGGAGCCCUGUGGUAGGGGCUCAUCCCAGGCCCUGCAUGUGGAGAAAAGCUUUGGAAUGUGAACACAAAGUACCACACUUGCAGCACCGUAAAUCAACAGGCACAUAAAAGGAAUUAAAAGUGCAGGGCUUUUAUAUUGUGAUUUUGGGGAGCCCUCACUGGAGAAGAUUUUUAAGUACUCAGGCUGACAGUAACACUACGUAACAGAGACUGGAAAUGGGCCUUACAAAAUCACUUCUUUGAGAUAGCUCUUCACCAGAAACAGCUGGAGAUAAUUCUUCAUCUUUCACUUGAAACAGCUAUUUCAGUUUAGAAUCAGUGUGUGGAAGGGAAGGUGGCUCUGCAGCUCCUCUGGCAUUUUUGUUUUUUCACAGCUCACUGUGAUCAGUGGUGGGUUUUCCAUUGGUGUUCAGGUGAAAUUAUAGGGAAGUAACUUUGUACAAAAUCUCGUUGGAUCUCUGGCCUGCCUGCAAUGCCAAGGCUUGCCUGAGGCUCAGAGGUUUUGUCUCUGGGAAAAAUUAGGAGGUCUUGACAAAUAAUUGUAACAUGCUGUUAUAGAGAAUCACAGGAAGGAAUGACAAAAUCCCCAAAUGAUUGGGUAUUCAGUUCCUUUGUAACAUUUUGCUUUUAUUAAUGCAAAUUGUGCUCACAUAUGUUAUUUUGUGGCCAGUUUGCUGCAUCGUAUGUUUGAGUCCCUUAUAACAUACGUAAGAAUUAAUACAUUGUGCCAGUUCUGUCUUCACCUGCAAAAAAAAUUCUGAAAAGGAAGAGGGGCAAAGAACUAUAGAUAAUCUGCAUAGGAACACAAAAAUUUUUCUUCUGCUUCAACUGAGGAGGGUCUCUAUCAUAUGAGUUUACCUUCUGUUUUUGGCUUCCAGUGAAUCCCAUGAUGCAGAGCAAAACUUAGUAGGAAGAAUGAAGUUUUCCACCCCAGAUGGUAAAUUGGUCCAGUUUCACUUGAAACUUGGCUUUUUUGCAAGUGUUGUUGCAUUUGGCCUAGUAGACUAUAAUGAAAUUUUGAACUAGGAUUGUUUCACUAUGUGAAUUAAGUAUUGGGCAUGUUCCAUUCCUGGAUGGAGUAGGACUUUCCAAGCAAUUACUUUUCUUAUCUCCAGGGGCUACUGUGAUAUUCAGAACUUAAAACGUGGAGAUUGUGACUCUUGGGCUCUCACUCAGUGUCACUGCUGGCACUGAGGUAAUAUGGGAGGGGAGGGUUGAAAGCAGCCACCCCCUAACAGCAUGUGGAGCAGGGAUGAGCCUCGUGCACAGGCACAGGGACAAUGGGUGAAGGGGCUGGUGUGAGAGCUGAGCUGGAAAGUGAUGGGGUGCAGAGAGGAAGGUAAAGAUUCAAAACUUUCGGGAGUGGUGGGGGGAGAAGCAACUGGAAUGUGGAUGGCGAUAGGGCAGCUCCUCAAAUGAGUGAGAGAGAAGGUGGGUGAGGACAUUGUGGGGCAAGAAAUUAUGUGAAGGUAGAAGAGAAGGUAGCAAAGAGUGCUGACGUUGUAAUCCAGCCCUGCCCCAGGAGAUGGAAACAGGGAAGUGACAAGCAAAGGUGGCAGGUGUGUGCAGGGGGUGGCCAAGCAGUGCCACCAGGCACUCCCUCACUGCGAGGGAGCUCUCAGCCUCCUCUGCUUGCACCCUUCCCGCUACUGCCCUGGGUUACUGCAUCUCAGCUGGGGACACCAGCACAGGGCUGAGCUCUUCAGGGCCACUAUGGAUUGGCUCUGCAUGUCAGAGGGCCCUGGGCUUUGCAAGCAGACUGGAGAUUUUAUACGUAAUGAUUUAUACUCCACAGUUACAGAGUAGCCUGGAUGAAACCUUGAUCUGGGCCACACUCUAGUUUGCUGACAGGAAUUUCAUCUCCGGCUUCAGUGCCAGAGAUGAUAGUAAUUUUUUUCUUAACUUUUGCAUCAGCAAUUCUAUGUUUUGGGAUAGGAAAUUGAGUCUUGUUCUUCUUGGACAUUGAGGAGCCAGAAGAUGCCAAGAUAUUUCUAAGCCCCAGAAGUAGAGGCUAUAGAAAUUAAUCAGAAGCCCAGCCAAAAGCUUCUCUUUUGGACAACUGCAGCUGCUGGUUUCCUCGAGCCCGAGCAGACAUUUCUGAAUAGGUUGUCCUGAGCACUUUCUGUUUCAUCUGGCAUAUGGGGCUGAGAUUUCAUACCAGAGCUGCACUGUUUUUGUCCAAAGUUUUAUUUUUGUCCUUUGCCAAGAUUAAGAUCCACUCAGAGGUUCUUAUCCAGCUAGCUCUCCUGCAGGUGCCAGGACAUGACUGGAUGCUUUAAAGGCUUACUCCUUUUUAUAAAUGACAUGCCGGCCAAGCUCCAUUACUGCUCCAGAGAGAUCCAGAGGAACUCACAGCAUCUUAGGGAAAAAGGGCUGGAAGGGAUGUGAGGUGACUCAGAGCAUCUCCUGCCUCGAGACACACUGGCUGUGCAGUCCACAAGGGGUAGUGUUUUCAGAAGCACUGAAGUCUCAUUUUCAGUCACCAGUUCCCUUUGACAAGUCAGAAGCAGAGACUUGGGCAGGCUAACUGUUGUGAAAAAACGUGUGGUAAUCAAGUGUGGAGACCACUGACACCCCUCUGGUUUUGGGGGAACGUUUUUUGCAGCCAUGUGCAGGACCCAUAAUACCUUUCUUUCAAAUCAGAAAUACACAUUGCAUUCUCUUUGUUUAGCUAUAAGUCACUUCUGUUUGGUUGAGAUAAAUUUACCCCAAAGCUCCUGUAAGUUAUCUCGAAUAAAAUGGUGAGUUAUGACAUUAAAAUGAUAGGAUUGCAUUCUUAUUUUCUGUUGUUUUAUUUCAAGUCAUGGCUGCAUUCCAUCAAAACAUGCCUUGAAAUUCAGUUGUUAGCUGCCUCUUUGCUAUUUGAAGCUGUAUUCAUCCUGCUUCUUUCAAAUGUAGAAUGUUUUUAAGUACAAGGAAUACACAUAAAAUGUGAUGGAAAAUUUCAUAUCGUAUCUGACUAAUGCCAAAAGCCUUUGAUUUGAAAGGUCACAGAAAAACAGUGUGGUGCAAUGCACCUCUCACAGAUUGUUCAGUGUUUGCCUGUGGUUUAACUCCCAGUCUCUCUGUUGUUGUGCUACUUUCUAAGCACUGUUUUCCUAGUGCCUGUGGAAGACAGUCUCUCCACAGCCCCAGCCCCGUUCCUCCUGGCAGCCCUGCUCCCUUGAUAGACUUCAGCUCAGGUUGAGGUGACAACAUAAUGGAGCUGCUGAUGGUCAGGUUUCAGGAAACAAUCAUGCACCUUAUGAGAAACAAUCACUAAAACACAAGCACUUAGAGGAGCUAGAGAUAAAAGAGUCUCAUUUUCUUGGCAGCCCAAGUAGAUGUUCUGCAAUGACUGAUGAUAUGCGUGUUAUCUUGACACCGUACUCUCCCAUGUUGAAACUGUUUAUGGGAAACAAACAUCAUGUGAAAAACAGAUUGCCAGACACUAAGUAAAUCACUCUGAUGAGGAACGAGUCAAGUUCUGCCAGUUUUACCCACACUGUCAUUGUUAUGAUGUAACACAUUCCUCAUGACUGAUACUGUAUCCAAAUUAGGGCACAAAACCUUCUCUUGAUCAGUUAGCUGAAAUUCCCUGCCUUGUAGCGACUGCACACACACACAGGCACAACCUGGCUCUCACACACACAGAGCCCCAGCCAGUACAAAAUCACACCCUGUGUUAGCCAAGGAUUAAGAAGGUGGCAAAAUGAUACAAAUUGCAAAUUUUAUACCCUUCCCUCUUUAAUAAGCUGUUGCAAUUUUCAGAGUUCUGCUAGCGAUGAUUAAUAAACAUUUGGUGUGCUAAACAUAUGGAAAAAUCAUCCCAUCUGGACCAUUUAAAACUAGGACGUAGACUUUAUCUUUGUUUAUUUCAUCCUUAGCUAAAAGGCUUAUUAUGAAUUGCAAUAAUCCAGGGAGCCAACCAUGGAAGACAGACAAGCUCUUUAGAUAAAACCAAAAAGGCAAGUUUUCUAACCGAGGACCAGAUGUAUUUUUGGGUAUUGCCCUUGUACAUAUUUAGCUGAGCUUUUCAAGUGGUGACGAUUUGCAUGUUUGUUUUGCAAUACUAAUGAAUAUGUUUUAGAUUUACAUUUUAGAAAAUGGAAACUUUUAUCUUCUUGGGGCUUUGUAAGUUAAUGACUUCCAGAAGAUAGUUUGGUAUCCUCUUUUAACCCUUCACCAUUGAAAACAUAUCACUUUCCGAGGCACGAGGAUCUAGUGCAGGCCUGCUGAACCAAACCCGGGAGAUAUAUGUGACUCUUUCUAUUGUUUAUUUCUGGAAUUACAUAAAAUGUGGGUUUUACAUUUUCAAUCUAGUGAAAACAUAUGUAAAUGGCACAUCAUUUUAAAACUAACCUAAUGUGAAUCGUGGGGUAGGCAUUACCAUACACAUGAUCCUUUAAUUAGAUAAAUAAGGAAAAUACAUUUGGAAAAAUAAAGUUUCGAGACCCAGUAUCUUCCAUGAGUGAUUUAGUUUCCUCCAAGAUAAAGACUGGUUUAGAGUAGUAAGGAAAAUGUGCCGCAUAACAACAUUUUUACUUCUAGUAGAGAGAGCAAAGUUGCAGUUUUGUAACAUAGUUUUUUACCCUUUGAUUUUCUUUAAAGAGGUUAUGAGAGAAAAUAAUUAAUGAAUAAAACAUAAUUUUUCAAAGGCUUACCCUCAUUGGCAAUUUUUAUAUGACACGAGCCCUAUCAGAAAUUAAAAAUUCUUCCUUAGGGAACAACAGAACAUUUUAAUACAAGAGAUAGCUAUAGCUUUGAACUUUGAGUCGUUGACAAAUCAGUCUGAAACAGCCUUUCUUCCAAAUUUUUCCAGUUGUUCAUGCAAAAUAUGAUAGGAAACUAAGUAGGAUCUUGAGCAAAGAUGAUGUUUCUUAUCCUUAGUUCAUGAAAAGUUGCAAACCCCUGUGUAUGUAGGAUGCUAAAGUGGUGCCACAGAGGGGUCCUGGUCUGGAGGGCUGUGUUGUCACUGCAGAGCAGCUGGAGGCACAGGCAGUGUGAACACCUCUGGGAUGAACAGUUUGGCUGCCAGGCACAGCUGUACAGCCUCAGCAGCCCGCUCACACACAGCACAGGUGUGUGUCUCAGGGGAUGUCUGCAUGUGCACAGGUGACACUUCACUCCCCAGCUGCCUGUGCAUUUUCGGGAAAGGGCUCCUGGACAGGGAUCCAGCUAAGAUCCCAGCUCACUUGGAGGCAAUUUGUAGAGUAGUAAGCUUUUCAUCUCUGUUUGUUUUUAAAGAGAAAGUCAAAGUCAAAGCUCCUGUGUGCUCUUGGCGCAGCAAGGGGUGGCAUGACAUGGUGCCUGUCUGGCCAGGGGUGACAGCUCAGCACAGCGUUCCCAGGAGCAGGAAUAUCCAGCUCCUCCCAGCUAUUUAACUCCUGCUUCUGCAUUGGCAUGGCAACAUGUCAGCUACUGGGGUCAUGUGCUGGAUUUCUGGGGUACCUUUAGCAGCUGCAGAGUUUACAGGGGGGUUAAUGGGGUCUCACAUUUGCUUUUCAUAUCUGUAUCUUGUAAAAAGGAGAAUUGCAAGAGCUCAGCAGGGCAAACCAGUGCUACUACCCAGGCAGCUCCUGUGCAGAGCUAAGGACCUGACAGUGUGAGGGAAGGCAGGAGGUAGGACAGGGCUGUCUCCAGGUUCUUGCAGCUCUGGUUGGUAGAUCGUGGGAGUUAGGGCUUCUUACAGCUGUCGUGUGACCAAAGCUGGCUCAGACUAAAAGGCACAGAAGCCAUGUUUGGGAUCCUUUUUGAAUCAUCUUGCUGUAACUUGGUCUUUUCUCACCAGCAUGGGCACCGAGGACCUGGCUGGGCACUGCAGUGGCAGGAACACCACUGUUCCCAGGCUCUCAACCAGCCAUCCCUCUUGACACAGGCAGUGCUGUGGAGAAAAUGUCCUGUGGGCAGACCUGACCCCGAGGCCACUGGCAGGACCAUGCUGAUCAAGCCCCAUACCCUGAAUUAUGGGUGGUUUAGGCUGCUGAGUGGGUGGACUCAGAUUCUGUUUCAGGUACAAUGCUGUGGAGAAGGUGACCUUACCUAGGGACUGUUAUUUGUUUUCAACGGAGCCGUUUGGUGACACUGGUCCUCCACCACUGAAGCAACUCCAAUGGCUGCAUAGGCAUCAUUCUUUCUCCUCUGGGUGAAACUGAGGUCAAAGCGAAUUCCAUAAUCCCUGUUUACUUUACUUUGGUACUGUUUUUCCUUUUUCAUUGUCUGUAACAUUAAUACCUCCAUUUCCAUCAACAUGUGCAUAAAUAUGAAUGCAGCUGGAAAACUGACAACCACGCUCUGCUGAAGCAGUACUAAUACUGUAUUCUAACUCUGCAGAUUUUUAUUUGCAUUAAAUUGAGAGUGGCUCAUGCACCAAGAGACAGAGAGUUGUUCAUCGCAUACUUUUCAGGGAAUGGGAUCCUUGCCCAUACUAGAAAGGUGGUUAACAUGAAAUAAUCGAGCUGGACUUCAAUUCAUCCCUCUUUUUUUUUUUUUAAUGUGAAUAUAAGACAUACAGUUUUGACCUGAAUUAGUCCAUGUUAAUUAAAUAUAACCUAAACAUUGCUUUUUCUCUAGGCUGGAUGGAGCUGACACAUUGCCUACAGACCUUUCACUGUCAGGAUGUGACACUCUAUUUAUUUCAUCUUACUCCAUUUUUCCACAGGACUUUUGAUUCUUCCAAUGUAUCUGUGAUGGAUGGAGAAUGAAGCAGGCCUGUGUCACAUACAAAGCAGGAAGAAGUGGAAUAGUCUUGUGGUUGUGAUCUAGGAGGUGUAGCUUCUAUCUCUGCUUCUGUCAUAAAGUCUCUGUGGGAGACUGCAUGGAAGUCUCUCCCCAAAUUUCUGAAAGUAGCUGCUAAUAUUUUCUUCAUUAUUUUCCAGGAAUUCCACAUAGGGAAUUGAAAUCUGAUUUCCACAAAGUCAGCUGAAGUCAAUAAAACCUGCAGAUGUGGGGCUGUUCUGAGAAUUCAAGGUCUUGGGUGGUUGGCACUGUACAUUGAGUACCAGAGGUGAAGAAAGAAGGUCUUAAAAUGUCUGGGUUCAGGUUCCCUUAAAUUUAUUGCAGACCUUCUGUUUCAUCUUGCCCAAGGCAGUUACAACCAGGCUCAGACAACCCUAGAACAGGUUUCUCUCCCUUGGCUGUGUGAAGGCUGGAAUCUGGGGGAGCUGGAGGGGAGCAAACCAAACCCGGCUUCUCUUUCCACUCAAGAUGCUACUGUAACUGCAAUGCCAAAGGUAAACACCUUGGCAUUGCUGGCAACUGUUUGAAUGGAGACAUCCAUUUUCCAACCUCAUUUCCCUUCUGCACAAUAAUACAGUUAUAAAAAUAACUCUCAAUUCACGUGGAUAUGGUGGCUACAUCAAUGACAGUAACUCACCAGGUCUGGCACUGCUCUCUGAUGCCAGCUGGCACAAAGGGUUUCAUGCCACUGACCUCUCCAGUCUUCAAAACAGGAAGGCUGCAUGCAAACUUCAACCCAAGAUUGACUCCUGAUCUUUGAGUUCUCUGAAUUGGGAAUGGCUUGGGAAAAUGUUACUUGUACCAACCUGUCUCCCUGCCAAGGAUCAUUCCAGAAAUACAAGAGCAGCACUGGCAGAAUUGAAGUAUCCAGAGUGUUCCCUGGCAUUCUUUAUUUUCCUGCUAUAAGUGAAGCCUGUAGCUCCCAAAGGGCACUAACAGAAGACUCAGCAUUUUGUGUGAGAGGAAAGGCGUAUUUCUAGCACAGGCUGGAAAUCGUAUUUCAUUCUUUGUUCACCUCCAGGUGUGAGGUGAACAAAGAAUGAAAUACAUGGGUGGCAGUGGAAGGAGAACUGAAGUAAGUCUUUGACAAUUCUGACUCUAGGUUGUAACCAACUUUUUCAACAGCCAGCAUGAAAUAGACCCACCUCAAGACACCUGAGCAGACCUGAGCAGAACUGGAUGUGACUGAGACAUCCCAGUUGCCAUUGCUUCUAGGCUCAAGGAAAUGGCAUGGAACAGUUGAGAGCACAUCUGACCUCCCAGGCCUGGGUGCAGCUGCCACUCUCUGCUGGCAUGUGUGUUGCAAUGGGGUCUUGCAAGGCGCAGUCCCUCUCCUAGAGGGGGACACAUAUGCUGGGAAAGGAAGGAAAUGUGCUAGUCUGGAUAACUGGGAUUGCAACAGAAAGUGGGAAAAACAUCUGCCCUGCAAUGAAGACACAUGGAUUAUGAUACACGGAUGAAAAACUUCGGAAUGAUGAAAGUAACUUCUCUGGAAACACACACCACUGCCACUGCCACAAGCAUGGGACCAGAUGCAUUAUCCCACAAGCUGGUGUGGCUCUGCUGUGGAAAUACUGACUCCAUGGACUGUUGCUACUUUGUGGAAACCAUAUGAGGUCAGGAAGUCCAACAGCAGUCCAAGUCUUUGCUUCUUGGGGAGAGAUGGGGCUCUGAAAACCAUGGAAGAAAUACUGGAGAAGCUUGGGAUAAUAACUGAUUUCCUAGAGUAUGUGUAGGUAUGAGAAACUGUCAAUUUUCCCCCUUGAAAAAUCUCUUACAUCAACUGUGCAACAGAGGCACUGACAGACCACAGGCUGAUGAGCAACAAUGUGAUUCACAGAGGGAGGUACUCGGAAAGACACAUUUGAUAAAGAUUUUUAAGAUGGUGUUAUCAGGUUCUUUGCACCAUAUGUGUAGGAAAGGACUCUACUUUUAAAUAAAUCAUUCUGUGACAUUGCUGAAUGAGGAAAAUCUAAUGUUAGAAAGGAAAUAAAAAUAAAUUUAUCUGUCUUUUCCCCCACUACUCUCCAUAAACUUGUUCUGAGUGCAAUAUGGCCUUUCUGCUUGAGCCCAUCCCAGGUAAGGUGUCUGUGUUGCCUUUUUUUGAAUCCCAGAAGGGUGCUUUCUCCUCUGUAGAGCCUGGAGAUUCCCUUGGGGUGGUCUCAGACAGGAGGGAUUUCUUGUGAUGAGGAUACAUGACUGAUGGAUUUACUCAUUCCACUAAAUCUCCCCAGUGUUACUCUGAUAGAAACACCUGGACCUGGUUUCACCUUGCUUCACUCUUCUGAAGUUCACACUUCUUCCUGGUUCCAGUAAGGAUUUAUUCCCGUAGGCCCAGGCAG